CCAAAGUGCAACCAUGAGUUUCCAUGCCCAACUAUGAUCGUCCGUCUUAUUUGAAUUUUUUUUAUAAUUAGUAUUUUUAUUGCUAUAAGAUGAUAAAACAUGAAUCGUACUUUACGCGUGACUUAUGUUUUUAAUUUCUUUUCAAAAAUUUUUCAAAUAAGACGGACAAUCAAAGUUGGGCACGGAAAAUCAUGGCUGCACUUAAA
rfam:Oryza meridionalis cultivar OR44 (W2112) chromosome 4, whole genome shotgun sequence.